rnacentral:rRNA from 1 species
GACGAACGCUGGCGGCGUGCUUAACACAUGCAAGUCGAGCGAGGCCCACUCUUCGGGGUGGUGCCCUAGCGGCGAACGGGUGAGUAACACGUGGGCAACCUGCCCUCAGCUCUGGGAUAACUCCAAGAAAUUGGUGCUAAUACCGGAUGUGACCGCUGACCGCAUGGUCUGGUGGUGGAAAGAUUCAUCGGCUGAGGAUGGGCCCGCGGCCUAUCAGCUUGUUGGUGGGGUGAUGGCCUACCAAGGCGA